AGAUUAAGUUAUUAAGGGCGCACGGUGGAUGCCUUGGCACUAGAAGCCGAUGAAGGACGUUACUAACGACGAUAUGCUUUGGGGAGCUGUAAGUAAGCUUUGAUCCAGAGAUUUCCGAAUGGGGAAACCCAACAUGAGUUAUGUCAUGUUAUCGAUAUGUGAAUACAUAGCAUAUCAGAAGGCACACCCGGAGAAC
rnacentral:rRNA from 1 species